rnacentral:tRNA from 1 species
CCUCUUAUAGCUCAGUUGGUAGAGCGUCAGACUGUAAUUGCUUUGGGAGAUCAUCUGAAUGUCCCCUGUUCGACCCAGGGUGAGAGGA